rnacentral:rRNA from 1 species
UGGGGAAUAUUGCACAAUGGGCGAAAGCCUGAUGCAGCAACGCCGCGUGAGUGAUGAAGGCCUUCGGGUUGUAAAAGCUCUGUCUUUUGGGACGAUAAUGACGGUACCAAAGGAGGAAGCCACGGCUAACUACGUGCCAGCAGCCGCGGUAAUACGUAGGUGGCAAGCGUUGUCCGGAUUUACUGGGCGUAAAGGAUGCGUAGGCGGAUUUUUAAGUGAGAUGUGAAAACCCUAAGCUUAACUUGGGGACUGCAUUCAUACUGGAAAUCUAGAGUGCGGGAGAGGAGAAUGGAAUUCCUAGUGUAGCGGUGAAAUGCGUAGAGAUUAGGAAGAACACCAGUGGCGAAGGCGAUUCUCUGGACCGUAACUGACGCUGAGGCAUGAAAGCGUGGGUAGCAAACAGGAUUAGAUACCCUGGUAGUCCACGCCGUAAACGAUGAGUACUAGGUGUAGGAGGUAUCGACCCCUUCUGUGCCGCAGUUAACANAAUAAGUACUCCGCCUGGGAAGUANGAUC